UACGAAGGGGAGCUAGCGUUGCUCGGAAUCACUGGGCGUAAAGGGUGCGUAGGCGGGUCUUUAAGUCAGGGGUGAAAUCCUGGAGCUCAACUCCAGAACUGCCUUUGAUACUGAAGAUCUUGAGUUCGGGAGAGGUGAGUGGAACUGCGAGUGUAGAGGUGAAAUUCGUAGAUAUUCGCAAGAACACCAGUGGCGAAGGCGGCUCACUGGCCCGGUACUGACGCUGAGGUGCGAAAGCGUGGGGAGCAAACAGG
rnacentral:rRNA from 1 species